GGGGUCGUAGCUCAGUGGUGGAGUGCUUGUCUCACAUGUAUGAGGCACUGGGUUUGAUUCUCAGCACCACA
rnacentral:tRNA from 1 species